UACGUAGGGCGCGAGCGUUGUCCGGAUUUAUUGGGCGUAAAGAGCUCGUAGGCGGCUUGUCGCGUCGUCCGUGAAAACUUGGGGCUCAACCCCAAGCUUGCGGUCGAUACGGGCAGGCUAGAGUUCGGUAGGGGAGACUGGAAUUCCUGGUGUAGCGGUGAAAUGCGCAGAUAUCAGGAAGAACACCAAUGGCGAAGGCAGCUCUCUGGGACGGUACUGACGCUGAGACGCGAAAGCGUGGGGAGCGAACAGG
rnacentral:rRNA from 1 species